GACGAACGCUGGCGGCGUGCUUAACACAUGCAAGUCGAACGGAAAGGCCCUGCUUUUGUGGGGUGCUCGAGUGGCGAACGGGUGAGUAACACGUGAGUAACCUGCCCUUGACUUUGGGAUAACUUCAGGAAACUGGGGCUAAUACCGGAUAGGAGCUCCUGCUGCAUGGUGGGGGUUGGAAAGUUUCGGCGGUUGGGGAUGGACUCGCGGCUUAUCAGCUUGUUGGUGGGGUAGUGGCUUACCAAGGCUUUGACGGGUAGCCGGCCUGAGAGGGUGACCGGCCCCCUUGGGACUGAGAUACGGCCCAGACUCCUACGGGAGGCAGCAGUGGGGAAUAUUGCACAAUGGGCGGAAGCCUGAUGCAGCAACGCCGCGUGCGGGAUGACGGCCUUCGGGUUGUAAACCGCUUUCGCCUGUGACGAAGCGUGAGUGACGGUAAUGGGUAAAGAAGCACCGGCUAACUACGUG
rnacentral:rRNA from 1 species